CUGAGCCGGAGUCCAAUUUUUGGCGCUCAAACAACAAAACUUCCGGCAAAUUACUUCCCAUCUCUCUCUGUCAAAUCACUUUCCGGAUGAUCUUCUAAUUGGUGCUAAUGGAUCUGACAAAACUAACUUCUUUCAAUGGAAGGUGCAGGACACCAAGUGGUAUCUGCCUUUGUGGAGAUAGUGUUUGAUAAUUCUGAUAAUCACAUGCCUGUUGAUAAGCGAGAAGUUGUUUGAGGAGAACUAUUGGUCUGAAGAAGGAUGAGUAUCAUUUGGAUAGAAAACAUAUCACCAAAAUUGAAGUUAUGAAUUUACUCGAAAGUGCUGGGUUUGCUCAUUCCAAUCCUUAUUAUGCUGUUAAGCUGUUUAACAAGGAAAGGUAUGCAAGCGUAAUUCCUACUUGACAUAACAGUGCAUCUUUAAGGUUGAUCUUGAUGUCAGAGGUUUGGAAGAGAGAAUUUCUGGAAGUAAGAGACAGAAGGAGGAAGCUCGUAUGGAGUGUGCUGCUGUUGAAAGGCAUGAAUCCAGAAAUGAGCUGGAAACAAUUCGAUUUUCAUACAGUGAUCAGAUAGCCAAGGAAGAGGAUAUAACGAUAGGGUUUGUUUCUUGGAUAUCUGUAGCUAAACUAUGUAUAUGUAUCCAAAUUUAGAUAUGCUGUAAAGUUCAGUAAUUGCACAAUUGGAUCACCUUUUUGUUUGUAUCACCAUUGUCUUAGGAUGCACGCCAUGAUUGGCUGUUUUUUUUCC